GACGAACGCUGGCGGCGUGCUUAACACAUGCAAGUCGAACGGAAAGGCCUGCUUUCCCUUGUGGAUUGCGGGUACUCGAGUGGCGAACGGGUGAGUAACACGUGAGUGAUCUGCCCCCAACUUGGGUAUAAGCCUGGGAAACUGGGUCUAAUUCCCGAUAGGACUGCAGGGUGGUGCCUGUGGUGGAAAACGAUUUUCUAGUGUUUGGGGAUGAGCUCGCGGCCUAUCAGCUUGUUGGUGGGGUAAUGGCCUACCAAGGCGGCGACGGGUAGCCGGCCUGAGAGGGUGGACGGACACAUUGGGACUGAGAUACGGCCCAGACUCCUACGGGAGGCAGCAGUGGGGAAGAUUGCACAAUGGGCGGAAGCAUGAUGCAGCGACGCCGCGUGGGGGAUGACGGCCUUCGGGUUGUAAACUCCUUUCGACCGCGAGGAAGCCACCUGGUUGGAAGGGUGGUGACGGUAGUGGUAGAAGAAGCACCGGCUAACUACGUG
rnacentral:rRNA from 1 species